AGGGUGUAAACGCUGCAGACUUGGUGUUGGGAACCCUUCGGGGGUGCUCAGUGCCGGAGAGAAGUUGUUAAGUCUGCUACUUGGGGAGUACGUCCGCAAGGAUGAAACUUAAAGGAAUUGGCGGGGGAGCACCACAAGAGGGUGGAGGCUGCGGUUCAAUUGGACUCAACGCCGGAAAACUCAUCGGGAGCGACAGCAGUAUGAUUGCCAGGUUGAUGACCUUGCUUGACAAGCUGAGAGGAGGUGCAUGGCGUAGUCGUGU
rnacentral:rRNA from 1 species